rnacentral:rRNA from 1 species
CCUACGGGUGGCAGCAGUGGGGAAUCUUGCGCAAUGGACGAAAGUCUGACGCAGCCACGCCGCGUGAGUGAAGAAGGCCUUCGGGUUGUAAAGCUCUGUCGCCCGGGACGAAAACCCGGUGGGUGAAUAGCCCAUCGGAUUGACGGUACCGGGAGAGGAAGCACCGGCUAACUCCGUGCCAGCAGCCGCGGUAAUACGGAGGGUGCAAGCGUUGCUCGGAAUUAUUGGGCGUAAAGGGCAGGUAGGUUGUCUUAUUUGUCUGAGGUGAAAUCCUUGAGCUUAACUCAAGAAGUGCCUCAGAAACGGUAGGACUAGAGUACUGGAGAGGGUCGUGGAAUUCCCGGUGUAGCGGUGAAAUGCGUAGAGAUCGGGAGGAACACCAGAGGCGAAGGCGGCGACCUGGACAGUAACUGACACUCAACUGCGAAAGCGUGGGGAGCAAACAGGAUUAGAUACCCCUGUAGUC